rnacentral:tRNA from 1 species
GCGACAUUAGCUCCGUUGGUAGAGCGAUCCCUUGCCAAGGUAUAGGUCAUCGGUUCGAACCCGAUAUGUCGCUCCA